GACGAACGCUGGCGGCGUGCCUAAUACAUGCCAGUCGAACGCUUCUUUCCUCCCGAGUGCUUGCACUCAAUUGGAAAGAGGAGUGGCGGACGGGGGAGUAACACGUGGGUAACCUACCCAUCAGAGGGGGAUAACACUUGGAAACAGGUGCUAAUACCGCAUAACAGUUUAUGCCGCAUGGCAUAAGAGUGAAAAGCACAUUCGGGAGUCGUUGCUGGAUGGACCCGCGGUGCAUUAGCUAGUUGGUGAGGUAACGGCUCACCAAGGCCACGAUGCAUAGCCGACCUGAGAGGGUGAUCGGCCAGACUGGGACGGAGACACGGCCCAGACUCUUACGGGAGGCAGCAGUAGGGUAUCUUCGGCAAUGGACGAAAGUCUGACCGAGCAACGCCGCGUGAGUGAAGAAGGUCUUCGGAUCGUAAAACUCCGUUGUUAGAGAAGAACACGGACGUUAGUAACUGAACGUCCCCUGACGGUAUCUAACCAGAAAGCCACGGCUAACUACGUG
rnacentral:rRNA from 1 species